AACUAACCAGGAUUCCCUUAGUAACGGCGAGUGAAGAGGGAAAAGCCCAGCACCCGAAGCCUGCGGCAGUUUUGCUGUUAGGCAAUGUGGUGUUUAGGUCGGUUCGUGGGACUGUCACUCCACUCGAAGUCCAGCAUUGAGUAUGGUACCCUGGAUUUGGCCCAGAGAGGGUGAAAGGCCCGUGCGAGUGGAUGUUUCAGACAUGUAAGACAGUUCAUCAGGCCGGCCUUCGAGUCGGGUUGUUUGAGAAUGCAGCCCAAAGUGGGUGGUAAACUCCAUCCAAGGCUAAAUACUAACACGAGUCCGAUAGCGAACAAGUACCGUGAGGGAAAGUUGAAAAGUACUCUGAAGAGAGAGUAAACAGUACGUGAAACCGUAUAAAGGUAAACGGGUGGCGUCAAGCUGCAAGCCGGGAGGAUUCAGUUGGUCAUCGUGUAUGGUGCGCCUUGUGUACCGCAGUCGGUGAUAGCCUGAGUAGUCCACUGGGAAACGGUGGGCCUGAUCGCAAGGUCAGGAUGUAUGAACCACAUGGUUGGUGGUGUACGCUGCUCAACUAUUGGACUGGAUGGCCAAUGCACUUCCUCCGUGGUGAACACCACGACCGGUGGAACUGCCAGUCUGGUAUAGUCGAGUUGUAUCUAGUCCGGCAUUCGUGUCGAUUGGGUGCAAUCACAGGCAAACUCGGUGGACGGUGAGUAGGCCCUCGUGGUCGACUCAUGUUAUCGGUCAUCGGUUGUCAACGGGUCUGUUCGUCGUUGUGUUUGUAGUACUCGGCGGAUGGCCUGGUGGACUAUGCUGGUAUGAAUAACUGUGCAGGGCACCGGAGUUAUCGGUCUCAAAUCCAGUACAGCACACACACUACAAGUGUGUUUCCCAGUGGAGGCGUCAUCGCAGCCUGUCGGUGGUUGGGUCUGAUUGUCGUGUCGCCUGCGCAAAGUAGGUCCGACAGUGGCCUGGCCUCGGUUGGUGUUGUUGGUGGCGUUUCUGUGUGUUGUCUGGUGUGGACCUGACAGUCUGUGGUGUAGUGGUAGACGAGCUACCCGACCCGUCUUGAAACACGGACCAAGGAGUUUAACAUGCACGCGAGUCAUUGGGCCUAUCAUCUCCGAUACGAAACCCAAAGGCGUAGUGAAAGUGAAGCCUCGACUUUUGUUCUCGGGGUGUGGUGAGAUCCUGCUGUUACUCGCAUCUGCAUCUUGUGUGUAUUUGUUGUGUCAGCACAAGGCAAAGAGCAGUAGGCGCAUCACCGGCCCGUCCCAUGAUGUGGUCAUUGGUCGGUUGUAGCCGCGGUCUCGGCUGUGGUUGCAGCUCCAGUGCGUCAUCGGGGCGGAGCAUGAGCGUG
rnacentral:rRNA from 1 species